UACGUAGGGUGCAAGCGUUGUCCGGAAUUAUUGGGCGUAAAGAGCUCGUAGGCGGUUUGUCGCGUCUGCUGUGAAAACUCGGGGCUUAACUCCGGGCCUGCAGUGGGUACGGGCAGACUAGAGUGCGGUAGGGGAGACUGGAAUUCCUGGUGUAGCGGUGAAAUGCGCAGAUAUCAGGAGGAACACCGGUGGCGAAGGCGGUCUGCUGGGCGGUGAACUCGCAAGAGUUCAAUAGCCGACACUGAGGCGCGACAGCGUGGGGAGCAAACAGG
rnacentral:rRNA from 1 species